AGAGUUUGAUCAUGGCUCAGAACGAACGCUGGCGGCAUGCCUAACACAUGCAAGUCGAACGCCCCGCAAGGGGAGUGGCGGACGGGUGAGUAACACGUGGGAACCUGCCCAAUGGUCUGGAAUAACCGCGGGAAACUGCGGCUAAUACCGGAUAAGCCCGAGAGGGGAAAGAUUUAUCGCCGAUGGAGGGGCCCGCGUCCGAUUAGGUAGUUGGUGGGGUAACGGCCUACCAAGCCUACGAUCGGUAGCUGGUCUGAGAGGAUGAUCAGCCACACUGGGACUGAGAUACGGCCCAGACUCCUACGGGAGGCAGCAGUGGGGAAUAUUGGACAAUGGGGGCAACCCUGAUCCAGCAAUGCCGCGUGAGUGAUGAAGGCCUUAGGGUUGUAAAGCUCUUUUGGCGGGGACGAUGAUGACGGUACCCGCAGAAUAAGCCCCGGCUAACUUCGUGCCAGCAGCCGCGGUAAUACGAAGGGGGCGAGCGUUGUUCGGAAUUACUGGGCGUAAAGGGCGCGUAGGCGGCCGAUCAAGUCAGAUGUGAAAGUCCUGGGCUUAACCUGGGGACUGCAUUUGAUACUGAUUGGCUUGAAUGCAGGAGAGGAUAGCGGAAUUCCCAGUGUAGAGGUGAAAUUCGUAGAUAUUGGGAAGAACACCGGUGGCGAAGGCGGCUAUCUGGACUGUGAUUGACGCUGAGGCGCGAAAGCGUGGGGAGCAAACAGGAUUAGAUACCCUAGUAGUCC
rnacentral:rRNA from 1 species